rnacentral:rRNA from 1 species
UACGUAGGGUGCGAGCGUUGUCCGGAAUUAUUGGGCGUAAAGGGCUCGUAGGCGGUUUGUCGCGUCGGGAGUGAAAACCUCGGGCUUAACUCGGGGCUUGCUUUCGAUACGGGCAGACUGGAGGUAUGCAGGGGAGAACGGAAUUCCUGGUGUAGCGGUGAAAUGCGCAGAUAUCAGGAGGAACACCGGUGGCGAAGGCGACUACCUGGCCUGUUCUUGACGCUGAGGCGCGAAAGCUAGGGGAGCAAACGGG